rnacentral:rRNA from 1 species
AGGCUUAACACAUGCAAGUCGAGGGGCAGCACAGGUAGCAAUACCGGGUGGCGACCGGCGCACGGGUGAGUAACGCGUAUGCAACUUACCUAUCAGAGGGGGAUAACCCGGCGAAAGUCGGACUAAUACCGCAUGAAGCAGGGAUCCCGCAUGGGAAUAUUUGCUAAAGAUUCAUCGCUGAUAGAUAGGCAUGCGUUCCAUUAGGCAGUUGGCGGGGUAACGGCCCACCAAACCGACGAUGGAUAGGGGUUCUGAGAGGAAGGUCCCCCACAUUGGUACUGAGACACGGACCAAACUCCUACGGGAGGCAGCAGUGAGGAAUAUUGGUCAAUGGGCGUAAGCCUGAACCAGCCAAGUCGCGUGAGGGAUGAAGGUUCUAUGGAUCGUAAACCUCUUUUAUAAGGGAAUAAAGUGCGGGACGUGUCCCGUUUUGUAUGUACCUUAUGAAUAAGGAUCGGCUAACUCCGUGCCAGCAGCCGCGGUAAUACGGAGGAUCCGAGCGUUAUCCGGAUUUAUUGGGUUUAAAGGGUGCGUAGGCGGCCUUUUAAGUCAGCGGUGAAAGUCUGUGGCUCAACCAUAGAAUUGCCGUUGAAACUGGGGGGCUUGAGUAUGUUUGAGGCAGGCGGAAUGCGUGGUGUAGCGGUGAAAUGCUUAGAUAUCACGCAGAACCCCGAUUGCGAAGGCAGCCUGCCAAGCCAUGACUGACGCUGAUGCACGAAAGCGUGGGGAUCAAACAGGAUUAGAUACCCUGGUAGUCCACGCAGUAAACGAUGAUCACUAGCUGUUUGCGAUACAGUGUAAGCGGCACAGCGAAAGCGUUAAGUGAUCCACCUGGGGAGUACGCCGGCAACGGUGAAACUCAAAGGAAUUGACGGGGGCCCGCACAAGCGGAGGAACAUGUGGUUUAAUUCGAUGAUACGCGAGGAACCUUACCCGGGUUUGAACGCAUUCGGACCGAGGUGGAAACACCUUUUCUAGCAAUAGCCGUUUGCGAGGUGCUGCAUGGUUGUCGUCAGCUCGUGCCGUGAGGUGUCGGCUUAAGUGCCAUAACGAGCGCAACCCUUGCCACUAGUUACUAACAGGUGAUGCUGAGGACUCUGGUGGGACUGCCAGCGUAAGCUGCGAGGAAGGCGGGGAUGACGUCAAAUCAGCACGGCCCUUACAUCCGGGGCGACACACGUGUUACAAUGGCGUGGACAAAGGGAAGCCACCUGGCGACAGGGAGCGAAUCCCCAAACCACGUCUCAGUUCGGAUCGGAGUCUGCAACCCGACUCCGUGAAGCUGGAUUCGCUAGUAAUCGCGCAUCAGCCAUGGCGCGGUGAAUACGUUCCCGGGCCUUGUACACACCGCCCGUCAAGCCAUGGGAGCCGGGGGUACCUGAAGUCCGUAACCGAAAGGAUCGGCCUAGGGUAAAACUGGUGACUGGGGCUAAGUCGUAACAAGGUAGCCGUACCGGAAGGUGCGGCUG